UACAGAGGUCCCGAGCGUCGUUCGGAUUCACUGGGCGUAAAGGGUGCGUAGGUGGUGAGGUAAGUCGGAUGUGAAAUCUCCGGGCUCAACCCGGAAAUGGCAUUGGAAACUACCUUGCUAGAGGAUUUGAGGGGGGAUUGGAAUACUUGGUGUAGCAGUGAAAUGCGUAGAUAUCAAGUGGAACACCAGUGGCGAAGGCGAAUCCCUGGAAAAUACCUGACACUGAGGCACGAAAGCUAGGGGAGCAAACAGG
rnacentral:rRNA from 1 species